GGGUGACUAGUCUAGUGGUCAGGACGCUUCGUUGUGGUUCCCCAGCGGGUUCCAUACACGAUCCGAAGAAACCCCGGUUCGAUUCCGGGGUCGCCCA